UACAGGGGGGGCAAGCGUUGUUCGGAAUUACUGGGCGUAAAGCGCUCGUAGGUGGUCAACUAAGUCAGACGUGAAAUCCCUCAGCUUAACUGGGGAACUGCGUCUGAUACUGGAUGGCUUGAGUUUGGGAGAGGGAUGCGGAAUUCCAGGUGUAGCGGUGAAAUGCGUAGAUAUCUGGAGGAACACCGGUGGCGAAGGCGGCAUCCUGGACCAAUACUGACACUGAGGAGCGAAAGCGUGGGGAGCGAACAGG
rnacentral:rRNA from 1 species